rfam:Penicillium freii strain DAOM 242723 scaffold_657, whole genome shotgun sequence.
CCAGCUCUCUUUGCCUAUUGGCUUAGAUCAAGUGUAGUAUCUGUUCUUUUCAGUUUAAUCUC